GGCAUGGCGCAGCUACACAUGCAGUCGAACGGUAGCACAGAGAGCUUGCUCUCGGGUGACGAGUGGCGGACGGGUGAGUAAUGUCUGGGAAACUGCCUGAUGGAGGGGGAUAACUACUGGAAACGGUAGCUAAUACCGCAUAACGUCGCAAGACCAAAGAGGGGGACCUUCGGGCCUCUUGCCAUCAGAUGUGCCCAGAUGGGAUUAGCUAGUAGGUGGGGUAACGGCUCACCUAGGCGACGAUCCCUAGCUGGUCUGAGAGGAUGACCAGCCACACUGGAACUGAGACACGGUCCAGACUCCUACGGGAGGCAGCAGUGGGGAAUAUUGCACAAUGGGCGCAAGCCUGAUGCAGCCAUGCCGCGUGUAUGAAGAAGGCCUUCGGGUUGUAAAGUACUUUCAGCGGGGAGGAAGGUGUUGAGGUUAAUAACCUUGUCGAUUGACGUUACCCGCAGAAGAAGCACCGGCUAACUCCGUGCCAGCAGCCGCGGUAAUACGGAGGGUGCAAGCGUUAAUCGGAAUUACUGGGCGUAAAGCGCACGCAGGCGGUCUGUCAAGUCGGAUGUGAAAUCCCCGGGCUCAACCUGGGAACUGCAUUCGAAACUGGCAGGCUAGAGUCUUGUAGAGGGGGGUAGAAUUCCAGGUGUAGCGGUGAAAUGCGUAGAGAUCUGGAGGAAUACCGGUGGCGAAGGCGGCCCCC
rnacentral:rRNA from 1 species